GACGAUUUGUCCAUUGCACUGAUCGCAGCACCACGACCACGGCCACGACCAGUUGAGCCCUGCUUCGAUGGGUUCAAUUUACCCCUCUUCAUUGUGAUGGUCAGGCCGAGAGGAGAGGAGAGGAGAGGUUGGAGACUUGGAGGAUUGGAGUCCGGUGGCGGAGCGGGGAGAUGAGAUCAAAUUAGGGAGGAGAGGAGGGCAGGAGGCGACAAAGAAAAAAAGGACUAGAGGAGCCAAGGAGAGGUCGAGAGGGAUGAGAGGAGGCGAAGACUGAGAGUCAUUGUCAAAGACUCUCUCUGUCUCUCAUUACUCAUUAGGGAUUUAGGGUUUAACAAAAAAAAAAAAAAAACAAUACAAACAACAUCGUUUUGAAUGGUUGACCGGGUUGACUUCGGUUUCUGCAAAGCUGAAACCGAAAACCAAACCGAACAAAUCUGGUUCGGCCCGGUUUUNNNNNNNNNNNNNNNNNNNNAUAACCUAAAGAUUAUUUGAGAACUGGAAUCGCAGCAAAAUGAUUUUUCUACAAAUGCUUAUGAUUUUCCAAAGUUCAUAUAUAGUAGAGAAGAUGAGGACAUUCUGAAAAAGAAAAAAACCUGAGAAGAUGAGGACGAUUUGUCCAUUGCACUGAUCGCAGCACCACGACCACGACCACGACCAGUUGAGCCCCGCUUCGAUGGGUUCAAUUUACCCCCUCUUCAUUGUGAUGGUCAGGCCGAGAGGAGAGGAGAGGAGAGGAGAGGUUGGAGACUUGGAGGACUGGAGUCCGGUGGUAGAGCGGGGAGAUGAGAUCAAAUUAGGGAGGAGAGGAGGGCAGGAGGCGACAAAGUAAAAAAGGAGGACUAGAGGAGCCGAGGAGAGGUCGAGAGGGAUGAGAGGAGGCGAAGACUGAGAGUCAUUGUCAAAGACUCUCUCUGUCUCUAAUUACUCAUUAGGGAUUAG
rnacentral:lncRNA from 1 species